ACUCCUACGGGAGGCAGCAGUCGGGAAUAUUGGUCAAUGGGGGAAACCCUGAACCAGCAAUGCCGCGUGAGUGACGAAGGUCUUCGGAUUGUAAAGCUCUGUCCUUGGGGAAGAUAAUGACGGUACCCAAGAAGAAAGCCACGGCUAACUACGUGCCAGCAGCCGCGGUAAUACGUAGGUGGCAAGCGUUGUCCGGAAUUAUUGGGCGUAAAGGGCGAGUAGGCGGCCGAUUAUGUCAGAUGUGAAAGGCUAGGGCUUAACCCUAACAUGGCAUUUGAAACUGAUUGGCUUGAGUGUAGGAGAGGGAAGCGGAAUUCCUAGUGUAGCGGUGAAAUGCGUAGAUACUAGGAGGAACACCAGUGGCGAAGGCGGCUUCCUGGCCUACAACUGACGCUGAUGCGCGAAAGCGUGGGGAGCAAACAGGAUUAGAUACCCUGGUAGUC
rnacentral:rRNA from 1 species